CUUCGACUUCGGAAAUUCUCGAUUUGGCAUCCCCUAAAAUUCGCAGGGUAUAAAUACCUCACGAAUCCCAACCAUCGACUCAGUCCGGGAUCAGCAGCUGAAUCAAGAUGAAGCUUCACUUUCUUCUCGGUAUUCUAUUGUCGACGGUAAUCAUGUUGGCGGAAGCGAAAAAGGGUACCAAUCGGAGAGGCAAUAAAGAACACAUGGACAUCUAAACCAGUGUCCUGGAAAUCCUCUUUUCCAGGCAGAUCAACAUUUUUUUUAGUCUCAAUAAAAGAAAUUGUGAUUA
rnacentral:lncRNA from 1 species